rnacentral:rRNA from 1 species
AGAGUUUGAUCCUGGCUCAGGAUGAACGCUGGCGGCGUGCCUAACACAUGCAAGUCGAACGAGAACCCAUUCUUCGGAUUGGGGGACAGUGGCGAACGGGUGAGUAACACGUUGGUGACCUGCCCCGAAGUGAGGGACAAUCCUGCGAAAGCGGGGCUAAUACCUCAUGUGCUCCAGGGGGUUAGAGGCCCCUGGAGUAAAGCUCCGGCGCUUCGGGAGGGGCCUGCGGUCUAUCAGCUAGUUGGUGGGGUAACGGCUCACCAAGGCUAAGACGGGUAGGGGGCGUGAGAGCGUGGCCCCCCACAAUGGAACUGAGACACGGUCCAUACUCCUACGGGAGGCAGCAGUGAGGAAUAUUGCGCAAUGGGGGAAACCCUGACGCAGCAACGCCGCGUGGGUGAUGAAGGCCUUCGGGUCGUAAAACCCUUUUCUGGGGGAAGAGAAAGGACGGUACCUCAGGAAUAAGUCCCGGCUAACUACGUGCCAGCAGCCGCGGUAAAACGUAGGGGGCGAGCGUUAUCCGGAUUUACUGGGCGUAAAGCGCGUGCAGGCGGCUUGGUAGGUUGGACGUGAAAGCUCUUGGCUCAACUGAGAGAGGUCGUUCAAUACCGCCAAGCUUGAGGACGGAAGAGGGGAGCGGAAUUCCCGGUGUAGUGGUGGAAUGCGUAGAUAUCGGGAGGAACACCCGUGGCGAAGGCGGCUCCCUGGUCCGCACCUGACGCUGAGACGCGAAAGCGUGGGUAGCAAACGGGAUUAGAUACCCCGGUAGUCCACGCCGUAAACGAUGGAUGCUAGGUGUAGGCGGUAUUGACCCCAUCUGUGCCGUAGCUAACGCGUUAAGCAUCCCGCCUGGGGACUACGGCCGCAAGGUUAAAACUCAAAGGAAUUGACGGGGCCCGCACAAGCAGCGGAGCGUGUGGUUUAAUUCGAUGCACACGAAGAACUUACCAGGGCUUGACAUGCGCGUGGUAGGACGAAAGGGGACGACCCUCGGGAGCGUGCACAGGUGCUGCAUGCUGUCGUCAGCUCUGCUGUGGUGUGGGUAGUCCGCACGAGCGCACCUCGUCGCUAGUUAUACUUUUCUAGCGGGACUGCCGAAAACUCGGAGGAAGGGGGGGAGAGACGUCAGUCGCAUGCUUUAUGUUUCUGGCUACACACGCUAAUGGGCGGUACACGGGUGCCA